rnacentral:rRNA from 1 species
UACGUAGGGUGCAAGCGUUGUCCGGAAUUAUUGGGCGUAAAGCGCGUGUAGGCGGCCCGAUAAGUCCGCUGUGAAAGUCCAGGGCUCAACCCUGGAAUGCCGGUGGAUACUGUCGGGCUCGAGUCCGGAAGAGGCGAGUGGAAUUCCUGGUGUAGCGGUGAAAUGCGCAGAUAUCAGGAGGAACACCGGUGGCGAAGGCGGGUCUCUGGGCCGAUACUGACGCUGAGGAGCGAAAGCGUGGGGAGCGAACAGG